UACGGGGGGUGCGAGCGUUGUCCGGAAUCACUGGGCGUAAAGGGCGCGUAGGUGGCCUGAUAAGGGUGUGGUGAAAGUCCGGGGCUCAACCCCGGAUCGGCCGUGCCGACUGUUAGGCUAGAGUACUGUAGGGGCAGGCGGAAUUCCGGGUGUAGCGGUGGAAUGCGUAGAGAUCCGGAGGAAGACCGGUGGCGAAGGCGGCCUGCUGGGCAGUUACUGACACUGAGAGACGAAAGCUAGGGGAGCGAAUGGG
rnacentral:rRNA from 1 species